AGCUCCAAUAGCGUAUAUUAAAGUUGCUGCAGUUAAAAAGCUCGUAGUUGGAUUUCUGGUUUGAUUACGUCUGACCCGUCAUGGUUACAUGAAUAGUGUGUCGGUACGUAGCGACCAUCCUUCUAGAACAUUCAUGUCACGCUUCUUUACUGAAGAUGACGCGAAUCGGUCUAGAUCUUUUACUUUGAAAAAAUUAGAGUGUUUAAAGCAGGCAGUGUUUGCUAUGAAUACAUUAGCAUGGAAUAAUCAUGUAGGACUGUUAUCGGUCUUAUUUUGUUGGUUUCGCGGGCUGAAGUCAUGAUUGAUAGGGAUAGUUGGGGGUGCUAGUAUUCAGUGGCCAGAGGUGAAAUUCUCGGAUUCACUGAAGACUGACUUAUGCGAAAGCAUUCACCAAGGAUGUCUCCU
rnacentral:rRNA from 1 species